AGCGAACGGACGGUCAUUAAAAGUCAGGUUAAAACCAACAGCAUCACACUAACUCGGGUUAGUGUAGCCUCACUUUAUAUCAUUUUAGUGUGUGGUCGCAUUCGAGUCACUUAGCUCAGCGCCCCUACCCCAGCCUCCGAUGCAAAUGUGACAUAUUUGGUUCUGACUUCUAGCCGGGUAGCCGAGUGAGGCCAGCUAAGAACAGGUUUCCUGGGGCCAAGAGCCGCUGCGGUGGAAACAGGAAUAACCGGUGCUUAAUCAGGCACUACCUCCGAACUUGCCCUGGAACUUAUUUGGUGGGAAAGGGGCAUAAGCGGUUGACCAAUCACAACAGAGCUGGCCAGCUAACCAAUCAGAGCAGAUUGAGCUGAGGGUGAGAAAAGGUGCCCCAGCACAGGCAGUAUGAGAAAAAUAAAGAGCUUUUUCAACAUUUAAGCAUGGAGACAUGUCACAGUAGAGGCAGAAAAUAAAAAUAUGAACCUGAAAAUGAGCAAAAUAGGACCCCUUUUAGAUUCUGGGUCUGUCCAGGAGGUAGCCUGGUCGUGACACACUCAAGCAGCCAGACUGUCACACUCCUAAAAGUAAUUAAAUGGUGAAGGUAGUAAAUAAGUACAUGGUUGCCUUUCAUAGGAUAUAACAUAAGCACAUAUUGGUUUAGGUAAUUGAUCUAGCCAGUUGGUUACCUGGUAAGUUAGUGUGCCAUGUAAAAUGAAACUGCACCUUUUUUGGAUAACCCCAGAGCAACACUGCAUUCCCCACACCAUGUGUAAGUAGCCUUUCAGUAACCCUUUGCUGUUGUUUUUACAGUAUCUAUUCUGUUGCUGUACUUCUGCAUAUCUGGGAUGCCUUUUGGACACCAAAUCUUAUCUCAUUAACUACCGCACUGAGGGCCAGGGCCAGAACACGGAGGUGCCGCUACUGAGCAUUCCGCCACAAGUGGGUGGAGGAGUGGUGAUCGGUCAAGACCUAAUUCAGGGAUCAGGGCAUGGGAUGUAUCAGGACUAGGGCUGCCCCCAAUUAGUUGAUUAAACGUUAGUCGGCGAAAAAAGUAGUUGCCAAAUAUUUAGUCUAUUAGUCGAAAGAAAAAAGCGAGUGCCUUUACGAAUCAGCUGGAAACCCCCUCUGACAUCAUUCAGAGCUGUGCCUGGUCUUUGAGUUAAUUUAAACAGAAAUAAGUCGCCUCAGUAUCCACGCCAUCGGCUUCAUAACAAAACAGAGCUUCAUUAUCACAACAUGUGUUCCUUUCUCAUAAUCAGAGGAAAACAGCAGCAGUGAGUCAGGCAGCAGCCUAGCAUUGUAUCCACAUAUAGAGACCUAUAAUAUAUAAUCAUUCUGACAUCAGAAACCUAUAAGUUCAAGCUUUGAUCUCAUUGGCUGUGACUCGCAUGUGACUGCUUUAUUAUUGACUCAUGCGCUUUGUAAGAUUACAUUUAUAUUUCAAAGGUUCAUUAAUACAGUUUUAUUUUAUGUUUUAUGAUGUUAUAAUAAUGUUCUUUGUCAGCCUUUGAGACGGAUAUCAUUUUGAGAGAAAGAAGAAAAUGCAACCUUGGGCUGCUGUGCUCUCAGUGUUUUGUCUCCUUACUCCUUCCUAUAGUGCGUUGCCUGUUUGAUCUUGUCAUGCAGUAUGUUGUUUAUUCUCUCAGAACCAGCUGAAUACAUCGGACCGGCGUGAGAAAUCUUCAGAACUGGUCGGGCAACUGCUGUGUCACCUCGUGGCUGCAGCACACGUCUUGUCAAUUCUCCGGCCGUAACUUCAUAAUAAACCUUCAGAGUUUGCCAUCAA